GUGUUAGCUCAGUCGGUAGAGCGCCAGACUUUUAAUCUCAGGGUCGUGGGUUCAAGCCCCACAUUGGACA